rnacentral:rRNA from 1 species
UGGGGAAUAUUGGACAAUGGGCGAAAGCCUGAUCCAGCCAUGCCGCGUGUGUGAAGAAGGUCUUCGGAUUGUAAAGCACUUUAAGUUGGGAGGAAGGGCAGUAAGCGAAUACCUUGCUGUUUUGACGUUACCGACAGAAUAAGCACCGGCUAACGCUGUGCCAGCAGCCGCGGUAAUACAGAGGGUGCGAGCGUUAAUCGGAUUUACUGGGCGUAAAGCGUGCGUAGGCGGCUAAUUGAGUCGGAUGGGAAAUCCCCGAGCUUAACUUGGGAAUUGCAUUAGAUACUGGUUAGCUAGAGUGUGGGAGAGGAUGGUAGAAUUCCAGGUGUAGCGGUGAAAUGCGUAGAGAUCUGGAGGAAUACCGAUGGCGAAGGCAGCCAUCUGGCCUAACACUGACGCUGAGGUACGAAAGCAUGGGGAGCAAACAGG